GACGAACGCUGGCGGCGUGCUUAACACAUGCAAGUCGAACGGAAAGGCCCUGCUUUUGUGGGGUGCUCGAGUGGCGAACGGGUGAGUAACACGUGAGUAACCUGCCCUUGACUUUGGGAUAACUUCAGGAAACUGGGGCUAAUACCGGAUAGGAGCUCCUGCUGCAUGGUGGGGGUUGGAAAGUUUCGGCGGUUGGGGAUGGACUCGCGGCUUAUCAGCUUGGUGGGUGGGUAGUGGCUUACCAAGGCUUUGACGGGUAGCCGGCCUGAGAGGGUGACCGGCUACACUGGGACUGAGAUACGGCCCAGACUCCUACGGGAGGCAGCAGUGGGGAAGAUUGCACAAUGGGCGGAAGCCUGAUGCAGCAACGCCGCGUGCGGGAUGACGGCCUUCGGGUUGUAAACCGCUUUCGCCUGUGACGAAGCGUGAGUGGCGGUAAUGGGUAAAGAAGCACCGGCUAACUACGUG
rnacentral:rRNA from 1 species